UACGGAGGGUGCGAGCGUUGUCCGGAAUCACUGGGCGUAAAGGGCGCGUAGGCGGCCUGAUAAGUAGGGGGUGAAAUCUUGCGGCUUAACCGCAAGGCUGCCUUCUAAACUGUCAGGCUAGAGCACGGUAGAGGCAGAUGGAAUUCCCGGUGUAGCGGUGGAAUGCGUAGAGAUCGGGAAGAACACCAACGGCGAAAGCACUCUGCUGGGCCGACACUGACACUGAGAGACGAAAGCUAGGGGAGCGAAUGGG
rnacentral:rRNA from 1 species